GCAGCUGUGGCCGAGUGGUUAAGGCGAUGGACUUGAAAUCCAUUGGGGGUCUCCCGCGUAGGUUCGAAUCCUGCCGGCUGCG
rnacentral:tRNA from 1 species